rnacentral:rRNA from 1 species
UACAGAGGGUGCGAGCGUUGUCCGGAAUCACUGGGCGUAAAGGGCGCGUAGGUGGUGGGCCAAGUCAGUGGUGAAAGCUCGAUGCUCAACAUCGAGUCGGCCACUGAUACUGGUUUGCUUGAGCACUGUAGAGGCAGAUGGAAUUCCGGGUGUAGCGGUGGAAUGCGUAGAGAUCCGGAAGAACACCGGUGGCGAAGGCGGUCUGCUGGGCAGUUGCUGACACUGAGGCGCGACAGCGUGGGGAGCAAACAGG